UGGGGAAUAUUGCACAAUGGGCGAAAGCCUGAUCCAGCCAUGCCGCGUGUGUGAAGAAGGUCUUCGGAUUGUAAAGCACUUUAAGUUGGGAGGAAGGGCAUUAACCUAAUACGUUAGUGUUUUGACGUUACCGACAGAAUAAGCACCGGCUAACUCUGUGCCAGCAGCCGCGGUAAUACAGAGGGUGCAAGCGUUAAUCGGAAUUACUGGGCGUAAAGCGCGCGUAGGUGGUUUGUUAAGUUGGAUGUGAAAUCCCCGGGCUCAACCUGGGAACUGCAUUCAAAACUGACUGACUAGAGUAUGGUAGAGGUGGUGGAAUUUCCUGUGUAGCGGUGAAAUGCGUAGAUAUAGGAAGGAACACCAGUGGCGAAGGCGACCACCUGGACUAAUACUGACACUGAGGUGCGAAAGCGUGGGGAGCAAACA
rnacentral:rRNA from 1 species